rnacentral:lncRNA from 1 species
GGAAAAUAUGCAUUUGGAUAGAAUUGAUAUAAGUUUGCCUUUAUUAUUUAUUGUACUACCAACAAAAAAUAUUCCUACAGGAGUAUUUUGGCAAGAAGGUCCAUUAUUGUGGAUACAUUUAUCUUAUUCUCCUAACACUAUUCUUACUAGGUAUCCUGAGGCUAUAGGACAAUUAAUACUCAAAGGAAUAAAAGCAACGAAGGGAGUGUUUGGAAUUUCUCCCAAUAAAAUUAUUACUCCAUAUACUAUGAAUCAAACUGAUGAGUUAGCUAAUGAGUUAAAUACUUGGGCAAUAAUCAUGUGCAAAUCUGAUGUUUCAUUUGAUAACCACUUACCAUCUAAUCCUUUGUUGUAUUUUUGGUCUUCGCAUCCUGUAGUUUUUCCAAACAUGACAAGAAAAACACCUAUCAUGAAUGCUCCAAAUAUAUUCACUGGUGGUCAAAUAAUGGUACAGCAGCAGUAGUUACCCCUGAUAAAAAUUUUACAUUUUUAGUACCCAAACAAUCAGCUCAAAAGGCAGAGCUUAAUGCAGUAUUACAAGCUUUUAUGAUGUUUAAAGAUUCUGUAUUUAAUUUAUUUUCUGAUAGUCAGUAUAUAGUUAAUGCUAUAGUAUCCCUUGAAGAUGCUGGUAGGAUUUCCCCUUCCUCUACAGUUUUCUCUUUGCUUUCCACUAUACAAAGUCUAAUCUGGGACAGAAAAGAUCCAUUCUUUAUAGGACAUAUCAGAGCACAUACCGGAUUGCCUGGCGCCCUUAGUUUGGGCAAUGAUUUAGCAGAUAAAACUAC